rnacentral:rRNA from 1 species
AACGAACGCUGGCGGCAUGCCUAACACAUGCAAGUCGAACGGGAAGCCAUCUUCGGAUGGUGGAGAGUGGCGCACGGGUGAGUAACGCGUGGGAAUCUGCCCUGGAGUGGGGGACAACCGCUGGAAACGGCGGCUAAUACCGCAUACGCCCUUACGGGGGAAAGCGACUAAGCGCUCCAGGAUGAGCCCGCGUCGGAUUAGCUUGUUGGUGAGGUAACGGCUCACCAAGGCUUCGAUCCGUAGCUGGUCUGAGAGGAUGAUCAGCCACACUGGGACUGAGACACGGCCCAGACUCCUACGGGAGGCAGCAGUGGGGAAUAUUGGACAAUGGGGGCAACCCUGAUCCAGCAAUGUCGCGUGUGUGAAGAAGGCCUUCGGGUUGUAAAGCACUUUCACUCGCGAAGAUGAUGACGGUAGCGAGAGAAGAAGCCCCGGCUAACUCCGUG